rnacentral:tRNA from 1 species
ACAUUUUAGUAUAUGAUGUACAUAAGUUUUUGAUACUUAGGGAAAUGGUUUAAUUCUAUUAAAUGUAGC